UAGCGAAAGCUAAUUGCAAUUAUCGACUCUGUCGAAUAAAAUUCUAGGUAGAAUUAUGAUAAUGACAUUAUCUGCCUAUGUGUCUUGACCAAAUUACGUGCCAGCAGUCGCGGUAAUACGUAGAAGACUAGUGUUAUUCAUCUUUAAUAGGUUUAAAGGGUACCUAGACGGUAAAUCAAGCACUAAUUUACUAGAGUUACUUAUGAGGGGGUAUUAAAGUACUGCUGGUGUAGAGAUGAAAUUCUGUGAUACCUCUUUUCCAUGGCACAGGUAUAGGCGAAAGCAUCCCCUUAUGUGAUAACUGACG
rnacentral:rRNA from 1 species